rnacentral:rRNA from 1 species
AGCAGCCGCGGUAAUUCCAGCUCCAAUAGCGUAUAUUAAAGUUGCUGCAGUUAAAAAGCUCGUAGUUGAAUUUCGGGGUUCUACCGUUGGUCGGGCUACCAAGUCUGUACUGGUGUGUAGAAUUCCUACCUUCUGGGGAACUAUCAUGUUAUUAAUUUAGCGUGGUGGGAAACCAGGACCUUUACCUUGAAAAAAUUAGGGUGUUCAAAAGCAGGCUUAUGUCUGAAUACAUUAGCAUGGAAUAAUAGAAUAGGACGGUGGUCCUGUUUUGUUGGUUUCUGAAUCACCGUAAUGAUUAAUAGGGAUAGUUGGGGGCAUUAGUAUUCAAUUGUCAGAGGUGAAAUUCUUGGAUUUAUUGAAGACUAACUUCUGCGAAAGCAUUUGCCAAGGAUGUUUUCAUUAAUCAAGAACGAAA